rnacentral:snoRNA from 1 species
CCUCCCCCUAGCAUUGCAGGUGUGGCUGCUCUGUCAUAUGUGAAUCAGUAGGUGGCAGAGAGGAGAGAGGCUGUUUCCUAUGCUCACUGCUCUGGCCUAUGAACAUCUAAAUGAUUAGUAGCCUAAUAUU